rnacentral:rRNA from 1 species
GAUGAACGCUGGCGGCGUGCCUAAUACAUGCAAGUCGAGCGAACAGACGAGGAGCUUGCUCCCCUGACGUUAGCGGCGGACGGGUGAGUAACACGUGUAUAACCUACCUAUAAGACUGGGAUAACUUCGGGAAACCGGAGCUAAUACCGGAUAAUAUAUUGAACCGCAUGGUUCAAUAGUGAAAGACGGUUUUGCUGUCACUUAUAGAUGGAUCCGCGCCGCAUUAGCUAGUUGGUAAGGUAACGGCUUACCAAGGCAACGAUGCGUAGCCGACCUGAGAGGGUGAUCGGCCACACUGGAACUGAGACACGGUCCAGACUCCUACGGGAGGCAGCAGUAGGGAAUCUUCCGCAAUGGGCGAAAGCCUGACGGAGCAACGCCGCGUGAGUGAUGAAGGCCUUCGGAUCGUAAAACUCUGUUAUUAGGGAAGAACAAAUGUGUAAGUAACUAUGCACGUCUUGACGGUACCUAAUCAGAAAGCCACGGCUAACUACGUG